CCUUACUGCUAUCGGGGUGGGACUAAGACAUGCGAGUCGAGCGUCUCUAGCUAUGUUGAGACGCGGCAUACGGCUCAGUAACACGUGGCUAACCUACCCUCAGGACGGGGACGAACCCGGGAAACUGGGGCUAAUAUCCGAUAUGCGAGGAAUCCUGGAAUGGUUCUUCACCCAAAGGACAUUGGAAACAUGCUUUCUCUGUCGCCUGGGGAUGGGGCCGCGUCCGAUCAGGUUGUUGGUGAGGUAAUGGCUCACCAAGCCUUUAACCGGUACGGGCCGUGAGAGCGGUAGCCCGGAGAUGGGUACUGAGACAAGGACCCAGGCCCUACGGGGCGCAGCAGUCGCGAAAACUCCGCAAUGCACGAAAGUGUGACGGGGCUACCCCGAGUGCCGUCCGCUGAGGAUGGCUUUUCCUUGGUGUAACUAGCCGGGGGAAUAAGGGAGAGGGCAAGACUGGUGUCAGCCGCCGCGGUAAUACCAGCUCUCCGAGUGGUAGGGAUGAUUAUUGGGCUUAAAGCGUCCGUAGCCGGCUUAGCAAGUUUCCUGUUAAAUUCAGCGACCUAAUCGUUGAGCCGCGGGAAAUACUACUAGGCUAGGAGGCGGGAGAGGUCGACGGUACUUCUGGGGUAGGGGUGAAAUCCUAUAAUCCCCGGGAGGACCACCAGUGGCGAAGGCUGUCGACUAGAACGCGCUCGACGGUGAGGGACGAAAGCUGGGGGAGCGAACCGGAUUAGAUACCCGGGUAGUCCCAGCUGUAAACGAUGCGGGCUAGGUGUUGGGGUGGCUACGUGCCACUUCAGUGCCNCAGGGAAGCCAUUAAGCCCNCCNCCUGGGGAGUACGNCCGCAAGGCUGAAACUUAAAGGAAUUGGCGGGGGANCACCNCAAGGCGUGAAGCUUGCGGUUCAAUUGGAUUCAACGCCGGAA
rnacentral:rRNA from 1 species